ensembl:antisense Gm17080 predicted gene 17080
GGCGAGGUAGCCAUUGGAGAAGGCAAAGGCAGCCAUGAAGGCGAUGAACCAGGCGUCAUGCUUAAAGACGAAGUGGUGCCGCUGCGCGCCGCAGUGGCGAGCCUUCACGUUGCAGAGCAUCAGCAGGGGAAUAAACACAAUCCUCGAGGCGACCAAAACCGGCAGCCAGCGGCUAUCCUGGCCAGGCUGCGGACACAGGCAAGGCUUCAGCACGCAUGUCAGUCCUCCCGGUCUCCUGGGGCCCCUGGGGACUUGGAUAAAACCACUAGGCCUGGGUGCCUUUGGGGGUGCUGAUUGCUAGGGGCGCAGUGGUGCCUAUGAUAUGUCGAGAUGUAUCUUUCCAUCUAGGUGGGAGCCAUGACAUGCACACCUCUGCCAGGCUACACACCUAAGAACUGUACGCAUGGGCCAGGAAUGGCUCAAUAGUUAAGAGUCCUGCUCUUGCGGAAGACCCAGGUUUAGUUUCCAGUCCUCACAAGCUCCUCUAACUCCAGCUCCAGGGGAUCUGGUGCCCUCUUCUGGCCUCUGUGGGCAUUGCAUUCACAUGCACACACACAUAAUUUGAAAGUCUUAGCUGGUGGCACAUGCACUUGGGAAGCAGGGAGUAAAGAGAUCUGAGUUCCAGGCCAGCCUGAUCAGAAAGGGAAGUGGUAUAAGGUAGAAACAGCAAAAGGAGAAAGAAGGGUGAGGAAGGGUAGGCAGGACACCCCGGGCCCACGUACACUCUUAAGUAUGGCUUUGAUAGACUGGUUUCUGUUGGUGGGUGGAGAGUUGGGGCCUGGCACCCCAGAUUCCUCUCUUCUUCCUUUUG